AACGAACGUUAGCGGCGCGCUUAACACAUGCAAGUCGUGCGAGAAAGGGCUUCGGCCCCGGUAAAGCGGCGCAUGGGUGAGUAACACGUAGGUAACCUACCCCUCGAUGGUGGACAACCUUCCGAAAGGAGGGCUAAUACAGCAUAAGACCACGGUCUCCUCGGAGACUGAGGUUGAAGUCGGCCUCUUCAUGAAAGCUGACGUCGAGGGCUGGGCCUGCGGCCCAUCAGCUAGUUGGUAGGGUAAUGGCCUACCAAGGCUAAGACGGGUAGCUGGUCUGAGAGGAUGAUCAGUCACACUGGAACUGAGACACGGUCCAG
rnacentral:rRNA from 1 species